AAGCAUUCUGGACAAUAAUAACUAAUACAUGUUUAAGAUAUUUAAGAAAAAAUACAUAUAUAUCUAUACAUGUAAAUAAAUGCAUAGCACACAUAUACACUAUGAUGUAUCACCUGCAGCUUCAACAUUCAGAAUUAUCACUUAACAUCACAGAGUGUAUAUAUUUAAUAUCAUAGAGAAAACAGUUCAUGUCCCUACUGAUGCCUAUUAUCUAAUAUAUUUAUAUCUCUCAUGGGAAUAAAGGCAACCCAGAAAUAACGUUGCCCUCAGCAAGAUCAAGUAGGCUUCUGGUCAGCUAAAGAUGGAGAUUGUUUCCCUCAUCCCACCUGCCUGCCUAGCGCAAACAGAAGUCUUCCCUGGAGGGAGAUGGCAUCACUCAGGACCUCACAGUGAUGCUACUGGUUGUCAUAUGCAACGCUUAUUAGAUAUCGAACACCAGCAGCUGUUUGAGAGGAUCCAACCAAACUGAAGAAAAGGAAACCAAUGAGACAGACCUUCCGGCACUCUUCUAGAAGCUUCAUGUGGACUCUCCUCUAUUUGCUGCCUUUACGAAACCAAGUUGAAAGUUUGGAACCCAGUUGGUAAAAGUGAAUCGCUGCAAAAGAAGUUGCCAAUUAGUUCAUGAAUUAGGAAUGAAGAAAAUAGCCAUAAAAGCUGGAGGGAAACUGAAAACCAUGAGUGGCUCUGUACUCGGAUUACUUAUUAGCAAAUGCCUUUUAGCUCUUAAUUCACUGGGAAGGAUGUAAGACUCAGAGGCGGAGCCAGCAUGCUGUUUGUGCAGGAGUAUUGCGGGAAGUUAGUCUGUGGACCUCCACCUGCAGGGAAGACGUCCAACCUAAAUCAUCAUUGCGGUGAAUAAAUGUACGUUUUCCUGCUUUCUA